CCUAACGCCACAAAAUCUCCGCUGUCAUUAUAGCUACCGUUAUAAUGUUGCCACCCGAGUCACCCGCUAGUCCUAACUCAAACGUGUCAUAACUCGGUAUCUCUUCCUCGAGCCCUAACAUUUCGCCGAAACCUGCAGCGCUAGAUGCGCUCGUUUCAGCAGCCAAAUCUACUUCCCCGUUCUUUUCCUCGCUGGAAAACGUCGGCGGCAAGCCAAGCUCAUCGUCCGAGGCUUCCAGAAGGUAGCCGAGAUCCGGCUGGCACUCACCUCCGCCAGCCGCUACAUACGCCAUAACCGGACC
rnacentral:misc_RNA from 1 species